rnacentral:rRNA from 1 species
GAUGAACGCUAGCUACAGGCUUAACACAUGCAAGUCGAGGGACCGGCGCACGGGUGAGUAACACGUAUCCAACCUGCCCUUUACUCGGGGAUAGCCUUUCGAAAGAAAGAUUAAUACCCGCUAUAAAGGAUGGGGAUGCGUUCCAUUAGGUUGUUGGUGAGGUAACGGCUCACCAAGCCUUCGAUGGAUAGGGGUGCGGAGAGGAAGGUCCACCACAAUUGAACUGCGACCCGGACCACACUCGUACGCAGGGGAGCAGUGAGGAAUACUGGUCAAUGGGCGGUAGCCUGAACCUGCCAAGUAGCGUGAAGGAGGAAGGCUUAGGGGUCUUAAACUUCUUGUAUAGAAGAAGAUGUAUUAUAUGAAUAAGGAUCGGCUAACUCCGUGCCAGCAGCCGCGGUAAUAC